UGAUUGAAAUAAACUACUAAAGUAUCUCACAGGAGAUCUGUUGUUUCAUUGGAAAAUGGUGAAGUGUGUGUGUUGAUCUUACGGGACAAUUAAUGAUUCCAGUAUCUUUUACCAAGACAAGACGGUAAGAAUGGCAAUGUUUUUAGUUGCUCAGCAGUGUGAAAGACAAGGCAAGUACAGAACAGAGAGGUAAAAUAUUGAAAAGGUGUAAUAUUGUAUUUAUUGUGGUGGGAGGGACAUAAAUAAAUGCCAUUAUGAAUUAUAUGUUGCGGUUAGUGUUAAAUUGUGAUAUGAAUAGAAAAGGAUAUUGUGAAUUGCCUGGAUGGAAAUGAGAAUGAAUUUAAAACAUUGUGAAGUUUUGAGAAUGGAAAUAGGGCAUGAAAAGUUAGUGCAGUGAAAAAUGGAAAGUGUUAGUUGAAAUAUGAAAGAAAUGAAAAUGGAAAGUGUUAGUUGAAAUAUGAAACAAAUGAAGGAACUACAAGAGGUCAGCAAUAGACAUUUUUGAAAAAUGGAGAUGUGAAAGUGAAAAAUGAAUGAAAAUAAUUGGAAAGGGAGAGAAUAUAUGGAAAUUGGAAUGGAAACAAUGGAAUAAUAGUCAAGGAAAUGGAAAAAACUACGAGUGUUGAAUGAAAUGAAAUUUGAAAGCGAAAAUACUUUAUCAUAUGUUAAAAGCAAAUGAAUAAAAAAGAAUAUAAUUGGGUUGAGAAAAUGUAGAUGAAAAAGAUAAUGAAAGUAAUUGGCGUUCUAGACAGAUCAACUUUCUGUAGAAAGUUAAUUCCAGGUUUCCUGGCAUCAAUGAUUGUUGAUUGUUUGCACCUCCCCAUCAUAGUUCUGCCAUGAAGGGGAAGU